AGGAAUCUGCCUGGUAGUGGGGGACAACGUUUCGAAAGGAACGGUAAUACCGCAUACGUCCUACGGGAGAAAGCAGGGGACCUUCGGGCCUUGCGCUAUCAGAUGAGCCUAGGUCGGAUUAGCUAGUUGGUGAGGUAAUGGCUCACCAAGGCGACGAUCCGUAACUGGUCUGAGAGGAUGAUCAGUCACACUGGAACUGAGACACGGUCCAGACUCCUACGGGAGGCAGCAGUGGGGAAUAUUGGACAAUGGGCGAAAGCCUGAUCCAGCCAUGCCGCGUGUGUGAAGAAGGUCUUCGGAUUGUAAAGCACUUUAAGUUGGGAGGAAGGGCAGUAAGUUAAUACCUUGCUGUUUUGACGUUAUCGUUUUUAAUAAGCACCGGCUAACUCUGUGCCAGCAGCCGCGGUAAUACAGAGGGUGCAAGCGUUAAUCGGAAUUACUGGGCGUAAAGCGCGCGUAGGUGGUUCGUUAAGUUGGAUGUGAAAGCCCCGGGCUCAACCUGGGAACUGCAUCCAAAACUGGCGAGCUAGAGUAUGGUAGA
rnacentral:rRNA from 1 species